ensembl:rRNA 5S_rRNA 5S ribosomal RNA
GCUUACGGCCACACCGCCUGGUUCAAGCCCGAUCUCGUUUGAUCUCGGAAGAUAAGAUAGGGUGGGCCUGGUUAGUACUUGGAUGGGAGACCGCCUGGGAAUACCAGGUGCUGUAAGCU